GGGGCUGUGGCUCAGUGGAAGAGCAUCUGUUUUGCAUGCAGAAGGUCCUGGGUUAAAUCCCUAGCACUCUCCA
rnacentral:tRNA from 1 species